CACCUAGGCGCCCCAGUUUUUGUCUAUUUUUAAACUGGAUUAUUUUCUUAAUGUAGAGAUAUGAAUUUUAUUUACUUAUUUAUUUUUUUGGUAUAGUCUGAACACAAGUUGUUUGUACAAAUGAAUAUUUUUCCUAGUCCGUAACUUGCCUUUUCAGUCUCUUAACAAUGUCUUUCCCAGUUGAAAUGUUUUAGAAUUUUAAUACUAUUUAAGUAAUCAAGAUUUUCACUUUAAAGAUUGUGCUUUUGGUAUCAUGUGUACUCUAAGUCACAAAGAUUUUCUCUAUUAUUUUCUUGUAAAACUAUAGUUUUGUGUUUUUUUAUUAAACAUUUUUUAAAAAAAUUUUAUUUAUUUUUGAGAGAGAGACAGACUGUGAGCAGGAGAGGAACAGAGAGAGGGAGACACAGAAUCUGAAGCAGGCUCCAGGCUCUGAGCCAUCAGCACAGAGCCCGAUGCAGGGCUCAAACUCAUGAACCGUGAGAUCAUGACCUGAGCUGAAGUCGGAGGCUUAACCGACUGAGCCACCCAGGCAUUGGUUCAUUUACCUGGGUUGUUGAAUUUCUGUGUGUAGAGUUAGGACAUUCCCUCCUCCUCCUGCUUGUUGAGAAUACUGCAUGAUGGAAAAUGUUUGCCAGAAAACACGUAUGGGGGCACCUGGGUGGCUCCAUCGGUGGAGACACGAACUCUGGAUUUUGGCUCAGAUCCCGGCUGUGGCUCCUCCAUUGGACUCAGGAAAGUCUCAAGUUCCAAACCUUUGGUGUUCAAGAACCUCAUGGUCCAACACUGCUCACCUCACCAGAAUCCUCUCUUGCUACCUCCCCCCUUCCCAGACUUCUGCCUUGCCAGAGGAUAUACAAUCCAGAGUGCUUAUGAAUUCUCUGGAACGCUUAUUUAAAAUACAAAGUCCUAGGCUCCAGAUUCUGAGGUAGUAGAUAAGCCUCAGGGCUCUGGAAGCUGCAUUGCAACAAGCUGGGCAACUCAUAUGGAGGGGACUUAUGGACCCCACCUGAGAAAUCCUGCUGAUCAGGUUCAAAGCUAGGCUAUUUCUUAAAGCUUCAUGCUGUUUAGUCUCUAGCAUUUCCAUGUGCUGCAUUCACUACCUGGAGUACCCUUCCCAUUUUUCAUCUUCUGCCUUCCUUACUUCCAACCCUGCGUAGGUUCUUUAUCCUUCCCUUCCAGGAUGCAGCUUUCAGGUGGUGUCUUCUGAGAAACCCUCACCACCCUUUCAAAGCUAAGCGGGUGAACCCCCCUUCUUUGUACAUGCUAAGGAAUUUAUUACACUAUCACUGCCUGGUCACUGGUUUCUCCUAUAUAAGCGGAGGAGCUCCUUAUGGGCUUGCCUCUGAUUGGUGAAAUCUUCCGAACUUGACAUUUUCAAAAGAAUGGCAGCGCUGUACGAGGGCCAUUAAAUAAGUCCUAUCCCCUGGCAGCACAAAAUACCACAGAAAUGGCAUGGCGACCUCCUUCCAUCUUUCUGUUCAACAUAAUACCAAGAGUGAAUUUCUUUUAGCCUUAGUUAUAUAACAUGUUGGCUUUGCUUAGGAAGAAGCAUGGAAACAUCUCCCAAUAAGCUCAGUAUUGAGCCCAGAAUUAGCUAACUUUCUUUCUGUCUUUCAUUCAUUUGAUUUUUAAGUAAUCUCUACACCCAACAUGGGACUCAAACUCAUGGCUCCAAGAUCAAGAGUCGCAUGGUCUACCAACUGAGCCAGCCAGAGUGCCCUUCAGAAUGAACUAACUUUCAACACAACAUUUCAGGGGAGGAUAAUUAACCUCACUGAAGUGGAUGAUGAGUGUUUUUGUAAAUAUAUUUUAAAAAUUGAAGUCUUAUGUUUAAUAAGACCCAUGGUAGUAAAUCUCUAUGAAAAGCAGAUCUUAAGUUGUGUAGGGUUUUUGUGUUCGUUUGCAGGUUUCCAUUGGAAGAGGGGAACAUUUCUGACAACAGCUAGAGCUAUUGGCAAUAGCAGGAAAAAGAUUAUUAGUUUUUGAGCUUUCAGGCAAGAAAAUUGAUGAAUUCAAAAGCCUAACGCAUCACUGUAAGCAAACCAGAUUUAGGUGAACAAUUAUCAUAGAACGGGCCGAACUGCCACCCGUGCUUCUAGGUGUCCAGGGCAGGAAUAAUUUUCCCUCAAGCUUAAUUUUGAAUUGUUUAAAAAAAAAUUUUCCCCAUAAACAGGAAACAAUUGUGUGACUCAAUUCCGACAUUUUUGUAUUUAUUACCACUCCUGCCUGGCGGUGUGUCAGGUUUGUGCAAAUCAGCGAUGAUCUUGGGUCACGUUAACUGAGGUGUUCUAAGGAGUUUGGAAGUCAGAGAGUCUUCGCUUGGUAUUCUUCCCUAGGGUGUGUGCAGCUUAUUGCUUUGACCAUGCUACUGUUAGGUGGGAGAGAACUUUAAAUGUGGCAUAGAUUGGGUUUUAAUGAGAAAAAUGAAAUCAAAGAAAAGGGAGUGACUGAAGGCACCAUCGGCAUUUUAUGGGAUAUGUUCCCUGGUCUCACUUGAGUUCAUUGACUGCACCAAAUGCACCACAUCUCAGACAUAUUUUGUUCAAAUACAAUUGUUGAAGUAUUUUUUUAAAGUCUUUUUUUUUUUACUGAUUUUGAGAGAGAGAAAGAGAGAACGGGGGAGGGGCAGAGAGAGAGAGAGAGGGAAUCCCAAGCAGGCUCUGCACUGUCAGCGCAUAGCCUGACGCUGUGGCCUGACACGGGGCUCGAACACACAAACCAUGAGAUCAUGACCUGAGCCAAAAUCAAGAGUCGGAUGCUCAGCCGACUGAGCCACCCAGGUGCCCUGUGAAGUGUGUUGUAACUGAUGGCCCCAUCCUGGGGACUUCUUCCAAAGCAUUCUGUUUUGAUUUCCCCAAUAUAAUCGUUGAGACUUAACAUCCUUCUCUAUAGUCUUUGUAGAGACACUACAUUUUUGUGGGCAUUUUUUUUUGUCAGAUAAAUACACAGGAAGUGUUUACCAUUAUAUCUGAUAGCUGUACCAUGCCAUUAGAAAAAUAUAUGCACAGUACAUGCUGAUGACUAAUCAGUACCCAUACAAGCCCCAGAGCAAGGCUGACAAGUAGCUUCGUAAGCUGGACGUCUCUCAGCUGUCCUUUAGACACUGUGUUUCCACCUUUAGUCAUCCCAUUCCUUCCUUGUGUCCAAGAGACCAGAGUUCCAAUGCCAAAGUCAGUGGUCCUGAGCCUGGAACCUGAAAUUAAGUUUGCCUCUUGGUGGAGAUCAAGGCAAAAGAGUGGGAAAAGGAAGGGUUUUACUUGCAACCAGUAAGGGGAAACCAGGAUAUUUCUCACAGCAGUGCCCGCCCCUUCCCCAACAACAACGUUGGGGAGGUUUUAAGCUGAGGGGGCAUGCACAUUCAUGGACGGUCUUGGCAAAGGAGAGCUCCGUGUAGAAUUGGGGCCAGAGUCAUCCUGGGUGGACAGAAUCCGGGUCCUGGUUGAUCGAAGUCAUGGGGGCCAGCAAGGGUCCGCAUCAAAGGUUCUCUGGAUCCAGUUAGUCCAGGGUUUGACUUCUCAGAGGGGCUUCACUCCUGCAAAAAUGACUUAAGACUCUGCCCUAGGUCAUUACUUUUGAAAUAGCACUGGGAGUGUUACCAUUGCUUUAUUGUCUCUGAUAGUG